rnacentral:lncRNA from 1 species
CCUGGGUUACCUUACCAUUUGCCUGCUGCUGUUUUAAAAAAUAUUUUGUUUAUUAUUAUAUUUAUUUGAGUGUUUUGUAUUUUUUAUAGUUGCAUUUAGUGUGCCAAAAAAUAUGCAAACUUGAUGUUCGUGACGUCACAUACAAUAUGAAAACUUGACGUUCGUGACAUUACAUACCAAACAAUGACGUCAUUAAAAAAAUGACCUAUUUUGAGGAAAUUUUUUCUUAAGCAAAAAAAUACAAAAAACUUUAUGUAAAAAAAAAAAAAAAAAAAAAGGUAUGCGAUACGGGUUUUACCAUGCGAUACGGGUUUAGCUAUGCGAUACGGGGUAUGCGAUACAG